rnacentral:rRNA from 1 species
ACGUAGGGUGCGAGCGUUAAUCGGAAUUACUGGGCGUAAAGCGUGCGCAGGCGGUUCGCUAAGUCAGGUGUGAAAUCCCCGGGCUUAACCUGGGAAUGGCGCCUGAGGCUGUUGGGUUGGAGUACGGGAGAGGGGGGUGGAAUUCCACGUGUAGCAGUGAAAUGCGUAGAGAUGUGGAGGAACACCGAUGGCGAAGGCAGCCCCCUGGGCCGAGACUGACGCUCAUGCGCGAAAGUGUGGGGAGCGAACAG